UAGGAGAAAAACUUUCAAUUACAAAUGAAAGGACAUUCAAACAAUGCAAGAACAUUCUCCACCUACCAGAAAACUGUGCUCUGAAAGUGCAGUGGAGCUCAGGAUGCAGCCAAGGGUGACUUAGCCUGUAAAUCUGAGCUUAAACAUACAUGAGAAACAAUGGAUGUUCAAUAGUAAAGAAGCAUUUAAAAGUUUUUAGAAAGAAAACGAGAAGUGAAAAAAAAACUAUUUCCUUCUUCAAUACCAGACAACAAAAAAGGAAGAGUGAAUAAAUACAUCAACCAAGGACAGCAACAGCUACAGAGUGACAGCAGUGAGACCAGCAAGAGACUUCUUUUGAAAUGUACACAAGGAGGCAGAGGUGAAGAUGGAAAUCUGGUGUAAAAUGAAGAGGGAGAAUAUCGGAACUCAUAGGGGCAACUGGCAGAGGGAGAAGAGAUUUUUGAGGCAAAUGGAGAAAAAGAGAUGAUUGUCUUAAUUGUCAUGAAUCCAAUAAUAGAAAAUGGCACGUGCUGUAGUCUGAGAACUACAGGUGGAAGUCUGUACCUAAAAGUUGAGGGGAUGGCUUUGCAGUGGCCUAAGGUAGGAGCCUCUUGACUCAGUCUCCCCAUUGUGCUACUUCCUUCCUGAACAGGAAAUUUCCACCUGGUUUAUCCUGAACCUUGUUUUUGAUACCCUGUGACUACAUGACAGGCUGUCAGAUAUGACUCAUGCCUAGAAUCAAACAAAGCAGAUUUUAGCAGAAUUAUCUUGGAAUCUCCACAAGUGGUUUGGAACCAGAGAAGCAGAGUACUCUUCAGAGCUGUCCUGAGAAUAAGGCCUAUUCCAGAAUGUUCAAGAGAAGAUAUACAAGCACCAGAGACAUGAAACAUGACACAUCUGGGACUCAAAAUAUGCUAAUUAAGUGGACAUUGGGAGUGGGUUACUAGGAUACAAGGAGACUUGUUGUUAGUUAAUAUUGAUGAUUGUUAUUAUAUUGCUUUGGCCUUUUGUUUCAUGGUGUUUAUGUUGAAGUUAGUUCGUUGUGAGUUUGAUCUAUAACCUGACAUGUAAUUCUGAUUAUGAAUAUAUGAAGAACCUUAUAGAUUCGGCUUAUAGAUAAGUGAUCCAUGGGGGAGUAGGCCUGUCAUGAAUCAAAAGGGGGAAAUUGAGGGAACUGAGGGGACUGAAGCAGCAAGUGGUGGUGGGAAUUUAGUGAACCACACUCACUCCAUCUUAUGACAACUCUGGAGCUAGUUCAGUUCCCUUUCUAUUCAAUUAUAGGUCUAAUAAAAUGUUUGUCUUCUGAGAAAGGAGAAUUCAAUUAGGGGAAUCAUGAGAAAACUACUGCAUUGUUUGAACUAGCCCCGCAUGCCUAGCAGGUUGGAUUACAUCUACCUGCUGCUUAGAGACCCUUAACUAAGGACCUAGGUUAUACUGUCCAGAAACCCAGUCAGAUCCAAUGACUGAUGCAACAAAUUUUCUCAGUUAUACAUCUCAAGCAACCCAUAUGGUUUAUCUGUUAUCAAUAAGUUAUUGUUUACAUGUUCCUUUGAUUGUUUCCACACACUUGGGGGAAGUAGGACACAUCUUUUUCUGAUUUCAGGGUACUGCACCUGUUUGCUCUCCCCCUCCCAACAUGGAAAGUCCCUAAUCUUUCCUCUAAUUAGAAAUCAGAUGGCCUAAUGUUGUAGGCUGGUUAACUGUUUCCUUUUAAUUAAUUGGUCUUAUUUGAUUGAUUGUUUUUAAUAUAUAAAAAUCUGUUUCUCCCUAUAUUCCGGGUCCAGCCCUAAACCAAGGAAGUCUGGUCCCAAUUUGUUGGGCAAUUGGUAUUCAAUGGUUAAUAAAUCAAUAUGUUCAGAAGCUUGA